rnacentral:rRNA from 1 species
AUUGAACGCUAGCGGCAGGCCUAACACAUGCAAGUCGAACGAGUGGCGGACGGGUGAGUAAUGUCUGGGAAACUGCAAGGUGGAGGGGGCUAACUAAUGGACACGGUAGCUAAUACCGCAUACCAUCGGAUGAGCACAGGUGGGAUUAGCUAGAAGGUGGGGUAACGGCUCACCUAGGCGACGAUCCCUAGCUGGUCUGUGAGGAUGACCAGUCACAGUGGAACUGAGAGAGGGUCCAGACUCCUACGGGAGGCACCAGUGGGGAAUAUUGCACAAUGGGCGCAAGCCUGAUGCAGCCAUGCCGCGUGUAUGAAGAAGGCCUUCGGGUGGUAAAGUACUUUCAGCGAGGAGGCGUUACUCGCAGAAGAAGCACCGGCUAACUCCGUGCCAGCAGCCGCGGUAAUAC